rnacentral:rRNA from 1 species
CGACCUCAAAUCAGGUAGGACUACCCGCUGAACUUAAGCAUAUCAAUAAG